AUUCCCAUCCCACCACCUUUUCCGAGCAAGCAAAAGCAGCGAAGCGGACCAACCCAAUCCAUCUCAUCUCCUCUACUCUGAAUCGCGAAUUAAACCCACCCGCGAAUCCUCCGAUUCUUUUUCUUCCUCUCGCGGCGCGAAGCAACCAAUCAAUGGCGGUGGCGUUGGGACCCGCGGCCACGUUCUCCGCCCGCCCCGCGGCGCCGGGCGCCGGCCGGCCCUGCUCGUGCGCCGCCGCGGCCACCGGAGGUGCCAGGUUCCGCGGCGCCGACGGGAAGUGGUGGGCGCCGCUGCUCGGGUGGUCGGGCCAGCCCGACUACAUCGACGCCCAGCCGGCGCCCCUGCCGGAGGAGGAGCGGGCUGCUGCUGGUGCUGCGGGCGCGAGGCGGUUCGGGGUGCUGACGGAGGAGAAGGCGCGGCAGCUGCGGGUGCGGAUGAUGGAGACGGAGAGCUUCCACGACGCCAUGUACCACUCCGCCAUCGCCUCCCGCCUCGCCUCCGCCGCGCCCGACGGCGACGCCAAGCCGUAGAGCGCGGAGCCGAGCAGCUCAGGCUCAGCUCGCCGGCCGGAGCCAUGGGAGACGCGCUGUCUGUGCACAGCUGUACAUACGCUUUCGUUUGUUCUGUCUGUCCUGUUGACCGUUACUGUACCCCAUUACGUAGUCAAGAAGAGGCCGGUAAUAUUUAGGACAGGGCCCCUUCAGACCCUCCUUCCUGAACUUGAUUAUUCCAUGGAGAUGGGACUGCUUACUUAAUCUUACUAGUAGUUCUGGAGCAAAACUAGCUAGCAGUAGCACCUGAAUGAUGAAUGUACAAAAAUAAUUUGGUUGUGCUGAUGAUUUAAGUUUCGGUUUGCUCAUCAGUGUUUUACUUUUACUGCAAGGUGUGGUUACGCUGAAUCCAACUCCGCGGAAUGACAGUCGAUUGUCAAAUUCAGAUGCUCGCGAGCUGCAAAAAUGAC
rnacentral:lncRNA from 1 species